AAAGUAGAGAUGGCAGGUUCCUCUGCAUCAUAUAUAAGAAUACUCGAGUUAAAUAAAUAACGUUAAUGGGAAAACACAUUUAAACAAAGCACAUAUAAACAUACAAAAGCCUCGAUCCACAGCAAGAGCUUCUCUCCCUCCCUCUCAGAAGCAUAAGAAGAGCUAUGAAAUGGAAGCCCUUCUUUAGUUUCAUAGAAGAGGUGAACAAAGUUUUCAGAAGGUUCAGAAUGAUUUCAGACACCUUUUGAGACAAUGAUUAGAAUUGUCAAAGAAAAAAAUAGAAAACAAAAGAGAACGCCAGUAUGACUGUAUCAGAAAGUUUGUCUCUCUUCUUUAAAAUCAAGAUAUCAUGCGCCUUCCAUUCCCCUCCCAUUAAUUUGUAGCGGAAAAAGAAAAUAAAAGCAACUAAAGAUUGAAAUGUCAUGGUAAAAGUUCCAAGGAGUUUAUUUUGCAAUUUUUUUGCCCCCCAUCAAGACAAAACACAACGGAAAGAGACUGAUCAAAUGGCAUGCAAGCAAGUAUGCUAACAGCCAGCAGCUGCACAAUCUAAGCUAAGACCAAGAUGGCAAGCUCUAAAUAGAAAUAUU
rnacentral:misc_RNA from 1 species